rnacentral:rRNA from 1 species
UACGGAGGAUGCAAGCGUUAUCCGGAAUUAUUGGGCGUAAAGAGCUCGUAGGCGGUUUGUUGCGUCGGCUGUGAAAUCCCGAGGCUCAACCUCGGGUCUGCAGUCGAUACGAGCAAACUAGAGUGUUGCAGGGGAGACUGGAAUUCCUGGUGUAGCGGUGAAAUGCGCAGAUAUCAGGAGGAACACCGGUGGCGAAGGCGGGUCUCUGGGCAACAACUGACGCUGAGGAGCGAAAGCGUGGGGAGCGAACAGG